rnacentral:lncRNA from 1 species
UCUGCCUCCCAAGUGCUGGGAUUAAAGGCGUGUGCCACCACUGCCCGGCGAUUGCACAUAUAUGAACUGUGUGUGUGUGUGUGCUUGGUGCCUAGUUCCUGCACAGGCUGGAAGAGGUUGUUGGAUUGUCUGGAACUGGAGUGGGUGCUGAGAACCAAAGCAGGAUCCUCUGCAGGAGCAGAUAGUGCUCUUAUGUUGAGCCAGUUCUUCAGCCCCAUUAUUACACUAUUUUGAAGAAGUUUUCACCUUUAAGUUGACCUUUUUUUGCUUUUCUGGAAGGAUGCUUAAUCGUUUGGGGGAACAAAGUGGGUACUAAUUGUGCUUUUGUUGAGCAAUGAGAUCCUGUUGUCUGUGCAUGUAGGUGACUUACAUCCCUUAGGUCAGUUUCAUGGAAUAUGGAAACUGGCCCCAGCGAGUUCAUAGUCUGUCUUAGGACCAAGACUUCAACUCUAAUCCCCACAACAUGCUCCUUUCUUAUGUUCAAUUUUCUCAUCAAUAAUAUGGAAUUAACUUCACCUGCCUAUUUUAUUAUUUUCAGAAUUUAACUGUAUAAGAAAUUUAAUGUUAUGAAGUGUUCAAAGUGCUUUAAAAAUAUGUAGUAAAGGAACUGCAGAACAUUACAGAAAUAUUACUGUAGCCUGCUUUAUGUAGUAAAUAUUCUGAAACAUCAUUAUAGCAAAUUAGCCACUGUAGUGAACUGAAAGGAAGCUGCUUUUGGAAAAAUGCGGUCAAUUUUGUAACAUAAGUACUCCUACUCUAUUUGUAAUAUAGUAUUAGGAUUUCCUUAAAAGGCUAUCUCUGCUUAAAAAUUUUGUUACUUGCAAUAGUAUUUUAUUGUUUUCUCAAUCUUGAACAGUAUAUGAUAUUAAGCCAUUUAAAACAUUUUGUAAUAUAAAAUAUUAAAAACUUAGACUUAAAUUAUAAUGCGUUUUACCUCUGACUUCUUAGAUAUAUUUCUUGUGGUAUUUUAAUGAAUAUUAUCUUUCCUUUCUCCUCCUCCUUCUCUUUCAGAAGCUACUAGGCCUUUUUUAAAAACCAUACCUUUUCUUUUCCUAGUUAUUUUGAAAAAAACCAAACAAACCGUAUAUGCUUGUUUUUUCUGUAUAGGUUACUAAAAUCCAGUAAAUAAAACACCCUUACUCAUGAAUUUUAUAUGAACCUUGCUCUACUGUUAACCUGCAUAUAUUUUAGACUUGUUAAUUUGUCUUAGGUGUCUUGUAGAAUUGUACAAUUGACACAUGAGUGCUUAUGAACAUAGGACCUUGGACAAAGAUGGACAGAUAGUACAAACUUUUAUAUAAUUGUCAUUAAAUUUCAGGUUCAGGAAAAAACCAAAAAACAGUGUUGUACUUGAAACAACAUAACUGUUUGGAAAUCUAGUGAGAAGUAAUAAUAAGUACUGAACAGCUACUGUGUGUCAGGCAGCCGGCUGGCCACUUCACACAGUCUUUUAACCCUCAGUAUUCUAUGAAGUACAUUCUGUCUACCUGUCUAACUGGUGAAGGUUCAGAAGAUUUCUCUUAACCGCACUAGGCUUGGUAGCUGAAGUUCUUUCCCAUUUUAUUUCUUUUUGUUGUUGUUGUUUUUUAGAAGGGUGUCUCAUUUGUGACCCAGGCUAGUCUGGAACUCUGUAGCCCAGUUUGUCUCAGCCUAAUGCUGUGACCCUUUGAUACAGUUCCUCAUGUUGCAGUGAUCCUCAACCAUAAUUAUUUUUGUUGCUUCUUUAUAACUAUAAUUUUGCUACUGUUACAAAUCAUAAUGUAACUAUUUGAUGUUCAGGAUAUCUGAUAUGUGACCUCUCUGAAAUAAUUGUUUGACCCCCAAGGGGGUCAUGACCCAUAGGUUGAUAACUGCUGCUCUAGACCAAGGUGGCUUCAGACUUGCAAUGAUACCCUUUCUCAGUCUUCUGAAUGCCUACAUUCUUGGUGUGUUGCCAUGUUUAUAUUUUACAUUCAUAGAAGCUCUGAGACAUUUAAAGGCAGAAUAUAUUUGAUGGGAAGUUAAUUAUUCUAUUUUAUUGCCCUACACCUCACCUACUCCCUACUCCCUGCCACUAUAAUGAGUGAAGUGUCAUGGAGGAUUUUUUUUAAUAGAAAGAUUAUUAGAUUCCACCUCCCUUCUUUUGUUUAAAUUAAGAUGAAAGUUCAAAGAUAUCCAAGAAAAAGAAUGAGAGCAAUAAGUAGUUUGUGAUUUUUGACUUUGUUUAGAUGCAACACAAGUAAGAUCAUAUUUGUCUUACAAUGCCUGGCAUAUUACAUAUAGUGUAGUAACUUCAAGGUUCACCCAGUAUCUUAGGGUUUCUAUUGCUGUCUGAAGAGAUACCACACUAAAGC